rnacentral:tRNA from 1 species
ACGGGAAUAGCUCAGUUGGUAGAGCAUCGGUCUCCAAAACCGAGUGUCGGGAGUUCGAUCCUCUCUUCCCGUG